CAGGCCUUGACAUCCCCCUGACGUGGGAGUAACGUCCCAUUUCCUUCGGGACAGGGGAGACAGGUGGUGCAUGGUUGUCGUCAGCUCGUGUCGUGAGAUGUUGGGUUAAGUCCCGCAACGAGCGCAACCCUUACCUUCAGUAGCCAGCGGCUAGGCCGGGCACUCUGGAGGGACUGCCAGGGAUAACCUGGAGGAAGGUGGGGAUGACGUCAAAUCAUCAUGCCCCUUAUGGUCUGGGCUACACACGUGCUACAAUGGCGUGAACAGAGGGAAGCGAAGUGGUGACACGGAGCGAAUCCCAAAAAUAACGUCUCAGUUCGGAUUGUAGUCUGCAACCCGACUACAUGAAGCUGGAAUCGCUAGUAAUCGCGGAUCAGAAUGCCGCGGUGAAUACGUUCCC
rnacentral:rRNA from 1 species